UGAUGUGUGAUGGUGCUGACCCACUUCUGCCUUUGUGUCAUCACUGAGUGGUAUCGCAACAUUCUCUAGUUUUCAGUGGCAAUGUGCUCUUACAAUGGGAUGAAGAGGAAUAAGUGACACUACCAUACGGCAUUCAAAUGAGUGCACUUCAGAGCAAGGUCCCUUCAACAGCAGCACUGGAGAGAAGAAACCAGGUUUUUUGUAUGUUGGGGGCUGUGGGAGAUAGCGAAACAUUCACGUGAGGCUCUUGACACUUGCUCAAGAAGGAGAAAUAAGGCACAGAGACAUUUUUUUUGGCCUGCUCCAGAUGCUUCCAGCCAAGCCAAGAACAAACCCUGGGAUCCUAGUAUCAUGUCUAGCUUCUGGAAAACAGCAACUCUUUUUCUGAUCUGGUUCUUGCCUACCUUCAUAUGGGAAGCUUUGUGAGUCCCUGUGAGCUGAGGGUAGGGGAUUUCUGUAAAAUACACUCCAGUGUAGAUUCCCAUCACUUUCCGUUUGGAUCUCCCACGGUCCUGUCUGCCCUUUCGUCCUUAUUCCUUGUCCCCAUUUUUUAGGCAGCAAUGCUGGAGUCUAUCCUCCUGACUUAGCUGUUGCAUUUUAAUUUUCAACAGGCCCCUAUUGCUCUUGCACCUUGUGUGUGGUCUUUGAACGUUAUGUGGCUCGGCAGCUGGGAAUAGUGAGUGGGUGGGCAAUUUAAAACAGAAAAGACUCUGUAUCAGCACAGGGCUGAGGUUUGAACUCUGCUCAGCUUUGGAUACAUGUAGCUGGUUCUCAGGGCUAUGAUUUAAGUGCUGUUUCGCUGUUGUCAGUGUGAAACCUAAAUCAGUGCUAAGAAACUGGUAGGGAUGAAAAAAAACUUUGCCUGUCUGAUAACGAGUGUUACUCUUGGCCCUGAUGAAAAAUUGCAGGAUCAGGGCACCUUAGAAUUUGUAUUCUGCUGUUUUGUCACCAUUUUGCCUCCCCAACUUGGAAAACAAGGAGUGUCUAAUAUGAUGCCAGGGUUUCUUUGUUGGAGUAUGUUUAUGAGCUGUUUCAUGCUGUGUAGGACACAAUUCUGAUUCUGAGUUUCCUGAGGAUAUGGAUUGCUGAUGGAGAGAGGCAGGUGAGGUGGAUGCCAACCUGUGAGACAAAAUACUUUAUUGCAUUCAUCUGAGCAUCUCUCUGAGACAAGGUAAAUGGGGUCAAGCAACAAAAUAUAAUCCCAAUGUCAUGAAUUGUUGAGCUCAUAGGGCCUGGUCCCCAGCUGCUUCUUCCUCCUUUUUGCUAUUUUCUGUGCCAGUAGAGGAUCAUACGGAUUGGAGGUCAAGUGGGAGACCCUGCUUUUCAUGUGCCCUGGCAUGAUUCCCACACACGCACACUUCUUUUGCACUUUCGAUGGUGAGCCCACUCCGCAUGGGCAGAAAGUUCUCAUGUAUGGGAGAUUCAUCACUGGCUCUCCUUCACAUUUGCAGCCCAGAGUACCAAGUUCUCAAAAUUUCAGUGCAGAGGUAGUUCUUUCCCCACCCACUUUCCAUCUAUCCCACCCAGGUAGACAGGAUGAGCAGAAAGAAUCCUUGCCUUGAUGAGAUUGAUAAAUGAGGCUGGAACAGAGCUCCUCUUUUCUGGAGUCCAUAUGGAGUCCUACCCAACUUCAAACUCAUAGCUGAUUCAAAAAAAAAAAUAGAAGUUGGCAAGUCCCUAAGUACUUUUAAAGAUCCUAAAGGUUAAAGACAUGGCCGAUUGGCAUUCUUUUUAGAGCCCGGAGUGAUAGUAUAUUUACUUCACAGAAUUAAAAAGAAUGUACAAUUAGCAUUAGAAACCUAUUAGAUAGAUAUUUGGAAGAGUCAUUUAAUUUUCCAGUGCCACAUAAGUACCCAUCAUUCAUCCCCACUGCACUGGGCUUCAUACUGAUUCUUAACAUUAUACGCUACAGUCUGCAAAAUAUAAGUAAGCGUAAAAAAGCAAAAAAGGAGAAUACCCUUGUUUUCAAGGAGCUGGCACAUUACAGACUAACAUCAGCCAUGUUAUUGUAGAGGUUCCAUCCUUAAAAACAGGUAAUGUGCUACAGCACCAUGUAAAAGCAUACUGAAGACCAAAUGGGCGUUACUGCCUCUUUACUACAUCUUGCACAUCACUGCAUUCCUUUUUUGGGUUUUGUUUUCAUAAUAAUAAAGGUGUAUGGCCAACAGCCUCUUCCUGUGGUGGAAUAACACAGGGCCAUGAAGGUACAGUUGGGUGUUAGAGUCAGAUGGAUGGCAUUAGUGAGAGUUGAAGGUUUGGCAGUGAUGGGAACUAACCAGGACUACUAGCAACAUUUUGGGAAACCGAAGCAGUGCAGCCAGGACCAACACAAUUUAAUAUACUUUCUAGAGGAAAAAGUCUGCACAGAAUUUGUGUAUGAAGUAUAAUGAAUGAAGCGGCAGACUCUAGAAGGAUUUCAUGGGAAAAGACUUGAAAUCCUGUAAUAUUUUUGACAAAGCUUUUUGUUCAAGUGUAAGUGAAUAUUCUGCAAAGAGCUUCCAGGAUGAAAAGCCCAAUAGAAUGCUUCCUAUUACUAAUGGGGUUUCUAUUUUAUUCAGGCAUAUAUAUAAUUAGCUUUGAUAAAAAGCUGAGACUCCUUUUUGUUGACAUAAUCCGGCAAAUACACCCCAAACUAUGCUAAUAGCAAUGUGUGUCUGCUUAACAAGUGUGAAUACUUUGCACACAGCAGCAAUUGUGUUGACAGUGGAUGACACUGUAAAAUUGCUGUUCACUGCGAUGUGAAUCCUUUCAAACCCAAUGAUUCUUGAUUUUCACUUUCAUAAUCACUGAGUCAAAUUCACUCCUCCCCACUCCCUCACAUUCUACCUAUGUCUGGGAAGCUGGGGAAAUUGUAUUCUACCUCAUUUUAGGUAACUGCACAGAUUCUCUCAUCCUGUGGUUGCUAUUCCAAACUGCAUUGGAUCGUGAGUAUGCUCAACUGUGGCUUUCCAGUCUUUAUUCUGGGCUGCCCUGAACUCACCUUAGAUGGAGAUUUGGGGGUGCCAGCAUAGUAUAAAAGGCUCUUUUACUUCUGCAGGUUCUCAGCAAUUAAGGCCUGGCAGCAAUGGAUAAUUCUCUGAUUAAAAUGAUCCAAAUGAUUCAAUAGGUACGUUGUUAAAAAAAAAUAGCUCUGAAUCCUGCAUUGUUACAACCUACAACAACCAAUCUUUUAGCAAAUUCCCCAUUUUAUUCUUUAUUCCUUUUGUGACAAAAAGUGAAAUCUAAACUUGUUGCAGGAGCAGUUGUAGCAUCCACUGACUUAAAAAAGGACCUCUAACAGUAAAUUGGUCCCUAAAAGCAAUUAACUCAUAUUUGGAGGCAGCAGACUAUUCUGUAUUGAAAGUGUGAGUAAACAUUUCUACUAAACAUGUGCAAGAGGGGAUACUUGCCCUGAUGGAAACUGUGGCAGACAGAUCCCGUGACAGUUCUGUUGUGGGAGCCAAUACUGUUCAAAAGAGGACAGCGAUCUUCUGAAACUUGUUUGAGGACAAGACAAGUAGAUGCAGAGGCAAAUAAUCAGAGCAAUCAAACAGUUCUCCCUGAACAGUUGUCAAGACCACCAAUAUAUACAUUCUGUGCCAUGAGUUUGUGGUGGUGCGCAUGAUAUGCAUGCACCAUAGCAACAAGAUAUUAAUCAUCAACACAGACAGGCACAUGUUGGGGUAAGUCUUCUGAGGUGCAAGUCGUAGGCUGAUCUGGUAUACACAACAAGCCCCAACGGUACCAGUUUCAGUGCUACCUCCAGCAGUAUUGCAUAGUUGAAUUCAUUACAGCUGAGUUUACGUCUUCCUCUGAAGGAUCCAAACUUUGGGCCUUGUGUAAAAAUGUCUAGACACGAAGAACAACUUCUCUUCCAGUUCUAUGUCCCUCUCUCUUUGUAGUUUUCAGUUACACACCCUGGGCAACUUCUUUGCUGGUGAGACACCACUGACUGGAGUGGUACUGUGCCAGCACCAUCUUUGGCACUCUGAGUGAUGGCAGAGAUUUUCAGAAGAGCUCAAGUGAGAAGGCUGUGAGCCCAAUUCCUCUUACAUUUGGUCAGUAGCCUGCUCUUGGCUCGUCAGCAUCUCUGCAAGGCCACUGGUGCCCAGUGCAGGCACUUCCCACUUGCCAGCAAUCUGAAGAGAAAUAACAGACAAUUUAGUGGCACAAAACUUUCUCUUUCAGCAGUUUGUUUUAUUUACCUAGAUUUUUCUUUGAAGAUGACACACCAGGAAAGUGCACCUAUACCAACCAGAGCAUUUGGACCACUAUGCUGAAGAGUUUGGCAUGCAUUUUCAGUUGUGAAGAUUCUCCCUGUCUUUUCACAGGUGUGCACUGAUACAACUCGUCCAAACUCAACAGAGCAGAUCCUGAUGUACACAAGGACACUCAUAUUCAGAUUACCCAGCUCUCCCCCUCCUCUUCCCCUCAAGGUCUUUCUGCUCAUGUCAUGUGGAAUGGCAUAAGUUCAGGUAUGGAGCAGAGAGACUUUGAAAUAGAAAAUCAGAGGAUACCGCAGGCCAUAUUGGAGAAGAGCUGGCAGAGUGGUGAGGGUUAGGACUAAGGUAGGCUUGUAUGGGGUGCCGUGU